CUUCUUCAUUUGCUCUUUUUUGUCUCCCUGCUGCUCAACCCGGACUGCAUCUCACCUCAGUGUUAUGGGCCAGUGGUUACUGGAACACAGCAUCCAGGAACACAGUUCUAGGGACCUUCCUUUUCCACUCCUCUGCAUCAGGAAAGCAGAUUUUGAGCAUCAUCCCUGUCUGUUGGCCUCUACAUACAAGAUGCAUCUCCAGGUGGGACAUGUGCCUCGUUUCUAUUUUCAUUAUUCCCUAUUUAUCAAGUUUGGCACCUUGUCUUUCUUGGAAUUAAAUGAUUUGAAAGUUUCUUUAGUCAUUUACAGACACAAGAGCACAUUUCACUUUGCUGUAUUUUCUACCAUAGCAGCACUAUAUUCUGGCAAAACUAGGGCAUCUUGGGAUCUAAUUUUGUAUUUCUCAAUACCCAGAUGAGUACUGUAGAUUAUAUUCAAAUCUAAACCCAUAUGAUAUAGCUAGAUAUGCAUAUCAUAGCAUAGAUAUGAUAUGAUAUAUAUGAUUCCUUUUUUCAAAAUCCCAUUAUAAACUAGUUAUCUCUACUGAUUUCAUUUGACUAGCCCCUGUAAAAAUCUAUCCUUUGCAAAUUUGUUUUUUUUCUUCUGUUGAUCAAUCUACAUAGAAAUCUGUCACAUUAACUUCAUAUCAAAAAAACCAUGUCAAAAAAACCAUGCAUAUCUAAUUCCUAUUUAUUUUACAGUCUUAUCCCUUCAGUUUCUUUGCUACUGCUUUUAGGGACUCUUGAAAGUACAAACUCCAUUAAAAAUGUUUUGUCAGUAUCCUGAAACAUGCAAAUUCCAUUCUAGUUUCUGAAGUGGGGUAUACAGUAACUGAAGUGUAGAAAGCACUCUGCAACAACUCUCCAUCAAAUUCAGCUUGUUGCUUUUACAAAAUAACCACCAGUGCAGGAAACUAGAGUGUGAUCCUCAGUGUCUAAAGCUUCUGUGAGCUUUGACUUAACUGUUGUUUAAACAUUUUUGAUACAAUGUAAUAUCAUUUUUAAGCAUGAAACUGGUAAUUAUAUUUAUUUCUAUAGAUAUUAGAAAGAAACAUCUUUAUCAGGUGGGAGCCAAUGCACAAAUAUACCAUAAAUUCCUGUCAUUAAAGGCUAGCUGUGCCAGGCAUCUAUUAGUUUGCUCUGAUGACAGACCUUUUGUAAAAGGUUUAAGAAAUGCAAAUGUUUUAGAUUAUUUUUGCUGUUGUUUUAAUGAUACAGCACAAUUUAUAUCGUGUACCUAAACAAGAAUUGUGAAUAAUGACAUAUUAGUAUUUGAGAAAACUUGGUGUGCAAUAUCAUGAUGGACUAACUUAGCUUAUCUUUGAUUCACAAACAAUAGAGAAAAGAAACAAAUACUGACAGUGAAUGAUAGCAGAGUAACAAGAGAACCCGGCUCAAAGCUGACACUUCCCACUAAGACAAGCACCACGUCAAACUACAACUGUUGGACUGGCACAAAGUGCAGGCAGCAUAGAGAUGAAGGCAUGAGGAUUACAAAUUGUUAUGUAAAUACUGUUAUGUAAAUAUUUCUUUAGAGGAACAUUCUGGGCACUAAAAACUGCAAGGAAAAUGACAGAUGAAAAAUGCUCCCUCAGUCAUGCAGCAGAGAACACAUCUGGGGUUAAACAUAACUGUUGUGACAGCAAACAAAAACAAAAACAACAAACAACCAAAUAAAGCAUAGAAAUUCAUCUUUAUCACUUAGGGAAAAUAGAUUAAAUAGAGAUAAGACAUACAAAAUGAUGAGUAAGUACUGUGAGUUGGUACAGAUAAAAGCAUGACAUGAGACAUGACAAGCUGAGAAAGUGGUCUCUAGAAAUUAGAUAUUGCUUUAAAAUAAAGCAUAUUUAAAGUUCACAGUAUUUUUUUGUGCCAUGUUUUGGCAGUGGGGGAGAAAGAUAACUACUUGCUAGCCUAAGGAUAAGUCUGUUCUAAGUCUGGAUUUCCUUUACUAUUAAACUAGGAAUUUGGGUAAUGGGACUACCCUGAAGCAUCUAGAUAAACUCUAAUUCCUGAUAAGAGGUAGGAGUGGAAAAAAAAAUAAAUGCUUUCAGUACCCGAGAGUAGGAAACAAAAAGAUGUCAUCUGUUUUGUUUCUCAUUUACCUAAGUGGAUAUUCAAGAAAUGACUAGAACUGGCUGGAAAUAUCUUGUUAUUUUUUGUGGGAAAGGGGCAGAAAAUAAAGCUGGGAAAAUGUACAUAUUGUAAACAUCUGUCAAUUUUCAAUUGAAAAACAUCAAAUGUAGCUAAUUUAUUACAUGCUUAUUCUACAUCUCAGUUAUUGCAGUACUAACGUAUAUUCUCAUUAAUUACCUUUGCAGUUAAUUUGGCUUCUGACAAAACUCUUUGUCUGAUCUGGAUUUUGUGAUUGGAUUGCAACAAUGAGGGCAGCUCCAAAAGUAAUGCCUCCUAUUUUAUUAUGGUGGCCCAUGAUGUCAGAGGCAAAUGUUGGUGUUGUGACAGUAAAGGGGCAGUCCGACAAAAUGGUGUCCAACACAGAAGUGUGGAUGAAGGAAAAGUAUGGAACUGAAUUCCUCCAUGAAGAAAAACCCACCCACUAAUACUCAUUGACACUUGCCAAAUGUUUGUGGAGACCAAACAGUGGAUGUGAGCACAGUGAAGUGUACAUUUCAGCAAUGGUGACAGUGAUGUGAAAGACAAGAUGUGUUCCAAACGGCUGCACAGAUUUUUAAUCAUUGGAGAAAACACAUAGCUAAUGGUGGAGGCAUUACUUUUGGAGGAACCUACAUAUGUCACUCCUGUGUGAGCUGGGUUUUUGGAUAAACUAGUCUGAGAGGGCCAUAAAAAAAUGAAAGCAUAACUUUCAAAAACAUAACUAACAGAGUGACAGCCUUGGUGGCCAUAGCUGAACAACAAACAAAAUAUUUUGAAUCAAAACUGCAACUCAACGUGAUAUGUUGUUUAUUACACUACAGCUCAAGCAAGUUAUUUAAACAUUUCCAAAUCCCUCCCUUAUUUUUCAUUUGCUUCAAUAAAAGGUCAAUAUCUUACUUAUUUUGAGGUGAUGAGAAAUAUUUUUAAACAUUACGAUAUUAAAUGCAUAAUAUCAUAAUUUCUAGUGGGAUGAAAAUCUCAGUUUUACCAGCUGCUAAUGGCCUCUGGAGAGAUUCACGCUGAUGAGAUUUGUGAUGUCAAACAGCUGUAGACAAAAAUAUGAGAAACAGUUGACACUAAUUAAAUAAUACAGAUGUAUAUCUACAAAUUUGAGACAAGCACAAAAUCAUCAUUGUAUUCUCUUGUACAAUUUCUAUGUGAUAUAAAAUGCUAUUUAAUUAUCAUACUUCUAAGUGCAAAUAGAAACAUACUAAUCUGCAGAUUUAUAUGUCAGACAGCAAAGAAUGAAAACAACACAAUAUUUAAUUAGCAAGAAACUUCUGAAGCUUUUUUUUUAAUGUGAAAUCCAUAACUGCAAAAAAGGUUAUUUAUUGAGUUCACCCAGUAAUUUAAGGUGAACACUCACAGAAAUGACACAAUUAUAGCCUCUUUUCUUGUGUAUGAAUUAUCUAUCUCUAAGCAAGCUGUGAAAUUUCAGUUUACCUGUAAUUAAACAUAUUUUCUGAACAAUUCUAAAUCUGCAGUUUAUUUGCAAAAGCUUUAUAUACAAAUUGAAUAUUCAAAAUUCAAGCUGCUUGAUUAAGUCAGUAGGCACAUAAUAUGUUUCUAUCUCAGAAGCUUGGUUUUCAUAUCAAAAAUCUGAUAUGAAUCAUUCAGAAUUUGCUUUUUGCAAAUACUCUUCAAUAAUACACUCAAAGUUCAUCAAACCUUAUUGUUAGUACCUCCACUCAAUAGAAUAAUUACAGAAAGCAAACAAUAUCCAGCCAAAAUUACUAAAAUGUCUAUGUACCUUUCCAGUGGAGGGAAAUCUGAUUGACAAAAUGAAUUUAAUAGCAUAAAAGAACAAACUAUAUUUGCUCACUGAAUUUUUGAAGGAAGAAUGAUCUUAACAUAUCUGCAAUACAUGUAAAUCCCCUCCACAUAUAUGAGUAACUUAUAUUGCUACUCCUACAUAUUUUUCUUAGAAAACUUGUCAUUUAUCUGAAUUUUAAAUAUGAAGUGAAAGUAUAUUUACUUGUGGAGGCUGGAUGUAUUAGAUUUUCUGAAUCAUUUUUAACCUUAGUUUGGAAGAUAUAUUUCUCAGCUGCUAAGCUACACGUUAAUAGGGGAAGCUGCUUACCUAAGCUCUUUUUCAGUGCUACAGAGAAUACUAAAAGAACAAUUAAACCAUUGCUUUGAUGGGAUACAGAUGCAUACAGAUAAUAAAUAUAAGGAGUUUAUUCUCAUGUCUUCAUUGUCUUACUUUCUUUCCUUUUAUUGGUAGCUUUAUAGAUCUAGAAAAGCCACAAAAGCUCAGUGCGAACUUAAAGGUGUGACCUCUGGUAUUUUAAUAUUCGUGUAUUGUGUAUCAAGGCAUCAUUUACAUAAGAUAAUGAAGUAGAGAUGGGCAGAAAAUGUACGCCUGAAAGACUUUCUAUAAAAAAAAAGGAUGAACACGUAGUUCUUUGCACAAAGCAUUAGAAAAUACUGUGAUAUUUAUUAUUAAAAAUGCUGCUGAAAAGUUUAUACAUAUGUGUCCAGCCAUAUAUAUCUUCUAUCAUUACUUAAGGCAAAAAAACAAAAGAUCGCAAAACAAUAACAGAAGAAACCAUUAAACCCUGCGUGCCUCGUAAGGUCAAGAAUAUAAGCCUGGGAAAGUACUUUUGUUUUUCUUUUACAGUUUUCAAAGUAUAUUUUGUUAUUAUUAUUAUAGAAUUCUAAUAAGACCCUAUAAAUCUGUUCCCUCUAUAAAUCAUAUGUCAGUCCAGAUGUACUGAAUUAUUAAAUCAACUUGAUUGCAAUUACUUUUAAAAGCUAAAAUCAUUCACUUACAGGAACUUUUUUUUUUUAAACCCAAAUGUCACAAGCCUGACACAGUACUGUACAUAUUGCUAGCAGAAGACAAUUGGAAGUACUAAACAAAUACUGUAAUUCACAUUACAAACAUACCCAACUGAUUAUGAUGCCAAGCAUCAAUACCUUUUUUCUUUUUUCUUUUUUUUUUUAACUAUUUUCUUUUUUUUUUCUUUUUUUUUUCUUUUUUUUAAUUAUUAUUUUAAGAGAUAUGAACUGCUUCAUCUCAGCUGAGGCAUCACAUAAGUGGUGGAAAUGGUCUGGUCUAGAGUAAGCAUUAAUCAAUAUUAUGUGAUGGAUCAGUGAAAAAGGCAGUUUUCCAUUUGCUACGACUUGUACUUUGGGCUUGUUGCUUCAUCGUAUUCCAACCUGAGCAUCCAGGUCAGGUAAUAGUACAUUUAUUACAGGUAAGGGAUUAUAUCAGCCACAUGUUGUAUUUUUUGUCAAAUAAUUAACUUUCCUUUUAUUUCUUUCCUUCAGAAUCUGCUUUACUGCAUGCUAUAACAAGGAGUUGGAUUGACUUCAGUGAAUCAUUUUGUCACCUUUAUUCACCAGAAGGACUAUUCCAAGAUGUCUUAUUAAAAAAAAAAAAAAAAAAAGAAGAAGUAUUGAAAACAAAAA